AUUGAGAGAGAAAGACUUCUUUAAAAAAGCGUUUUUGUUAAGGAGUCUGGGAAUCAUGGAAUCAUAGUGACCAGUAACUGUUAUGGACUGGAUUGUAUCCCCCUCCAAUUCAGUUAUGGUGCUGCUUCAGAAAGAAAAGAGAUAGUUUCCCUUGCAAAGUUAUCAAAGUGCUCCCCAGAAGACAUUAGGUAUUUGCUUUCUAGUCUACAUACAAUGAAAAGGAAAAAACGUCAGUUCCUGAAGCUCUCUCAAAACAUCAACAGAUGGAAAGACGUGCCCAUGUCCUCCCCUCCCUCCACUCUGGGGGCUUGGAAAUGCUGCAGCAGGGAGCAGGCCCCAGGCUGGACCUGCCCUGUCCUCACGACGAGUGUGUGCAAAAGUGAACAAUAAAUCAUUUCAAAGAUGCAAGGAAGAAAAACCAAAACAUCAACAGAAUCUUCUUUCCCAUAAUCUUCAUGCACCUCCUGGUCCGGAUGAGUUUAUGUUCCCAUCUCCGAGCACAGGGAUUGAUUGUGAUGGCAUUUAUAGGACUGAGUGCCCCACACUCUGUGAUCCAGCAUGGAGUUAUGAUUUACAUCACCACAGGAAGAGUACAGAGGCUUCAACAGAAAAAAAGCAAAAACAACAGACCUUCAUUCAGCUUAGGAACAUAAUAAAUAGGACGAAGUUGAAUAAACGAAAUGGAGGGGAGUGAAGUAUUCCAGAUGGAAGAGGCAGUACGUGGCCAAGAGGAAACAGACCAUGUGCGCUGGAGAAAAAGGAUGGCCAGACUUGCAGAAACCUGGAAUUGGUGAUUGGCUUUAGAAGUGGAGAGACAAAAAAGGAGGCAUAGAAAGUGCCAACAUUUGGCUACACAGGGAAGAAAGACGUAAAAUAAUAAAAACAUUGGCAUCACCUGUAGACUCAAAUCCUGUGAGUGAAGGACCUGAGCAAUGAAGGAUGGAUUGAACUCGUGAUUAGCCUUCUUCAGCAUAUGUAAAAUGAUGUCUGCUUUUCUUCUCUAUUUGUCAUUUUACCGACUUUUUAUAUAUAGUAGUUUCCCCAUAUCCAUGGAGGAUGUAUCCCAAGACCCCCAGAGGAUGCUUGAAACCACAGAUAAUAACAAACUCUAUGUAUCCUAUGAUUUUUCCUGUACAUCCUUACCUAUCAUAAAGUGAGUGUAUAAACUAGGCACAGGAGAUUAAAAACAAUAACUCAUAAUAAAAUAGAACAAUUAGUACAACCUAAUGAAAGUUAUCUGAAUGUGAUCUCUCUCAAAAUAUCUUAUUGUAGUGUACCAUGGGUAACUGAAAUGAUAGAAAACAAAAUUGCUGAUAAAGGGGGAUAUUGUAGUAAAAUAAAGGGGGAUGGGUAGAGCGUAGGAAGCAUUCACAAUUAGAACAGUUGGCAGUAGGGAAAGAAACAUACUUUAAAUUGGAAUGUGGAUCACAUGGCUGCCUCCUGCCAGUCAUGAUCGCAGGGUACAGAGGCCUCUGGUAUGUCAGGUCUUCUCUCCCACCACUAAUACUGCCCAAAAGACUCCAUCAGCAACCAGAGCUGAAUCACACACAACCCAGAUUGUCAUUUCUGAUGACUUUGACUUAAACAAACAGACAUAUUUUUAAUCUUUUUAGUGUGUGUGAAACUAGCAAGGCCUAAUGAAUUGAGUAUAUGGAUGAGGUUUGUGGCCUCUGUAACGUUUUCUCCAACCAGAACCUACUGAAAUAGCACAGAUGGUGAUGAGUAUGGUUCAAACACAAGAAUUCUUGGGUAAGUGACAAGAAUCUCGGUCUCCUGCCAUUUCCAUCUCUGCAUUUACUUACUGUGUGAAUUUGGACGAGUCAUGUAAUCUUCUGGCUUCAGUGUGUUUAUCUCUGUAAUUAAUAUGUUCAGUAACAGUUCUUCCCUCUGACCUAAAAAUAACCACUUCUUCCAAAGGUAUAUAUUAGAACUAUAUACAUAUAUACUAUACAAAUAUCUAACAUUUAUAUACUUAAUAUAUGUAAUAAACAUACUACACAUGUAAAUUUAAUGAUCUACCCUAUUCUCAGCCUCUACUUUCCUCUGACAAUGACAUCAUUCAAAUACUCUAAAAAGCUCAUAUUAUAGAAUCUUUAUAUUUAAAAAAGUUUUGUAAUGCUCUAAACUUAAUUGCAUAUUGCUAAGUGAAAGAGGCCAGUCUGAAAAAGCUAUGCACUGUAUGAUUCCAACUAUAUGACAUUCUGGAAAAGCCAAAACUAUAGAGACAAUAAAAGUAUCAAAGGCCUUUAGGGGGUUCAGGGAAAUGGGUGAGGAAUUAAAUAAAUGGAGUACAGCACACUUUUAGGGCAGCGAAACUAUUGUGUAUGGUACUCUAACAGUGGAUAUGUAACAUUACACUUUUAUCAAAACCUAUAAGCCCCAAACAGAAUGUUGUAAAUGUAAACUCUGGACUUCAUUUAUUUGUAGAGACAGGACUUUAGUUAAAAGUCCAUAUUGGUUUAUUAAUGGUAGCAAAUAUACCACACGAACGCCAGAUGCUAGUAAGAGCAGAAACUGUGUUGGGAGGAGGGAAGAUGUAUGGGAACUGGACUUUCUGUGCAGUUUCUCUCGGUAAACCUAAAACUGCUCUAAAAUUUUUCUAUUGAAUUUUUCAAUUAUUCCAGUUAUUCUCUAUAAAUUAGCAUACCUAUUGGCCCCCAAUUACCUUGCUAAUUUUAGGUUACUUAUUUUUAUAUGGUUCUCGAUUUAGUCUCCUUGGGCAAAUAGUAAACUGCAUGGCUUUUACUCUCUCUGACUUUCUUUUUCUGUCCUUCACAGAAAUUGAAGUUGAAGUAUAAGGAGAAUUUUUACAUCACCCAGGUUCUAAUUUGGAAGGUUUCUAACAGCCCUCUGUCCUCUUCUGGUGCUCACUGUGAAAGAAUUUGCACCCUGCAACACUAAGUGUUUGUGCUAGAAUCCACUUCUGAUGUUGGCUGCUCUGACACAGCUUCCAUUCGGCAGGGUCUCACUCUUGUCGCCCAGACUGCAUUGCAGUGGGGUGAUCUCGGCUCAUUGCAACCUCUGUCUCCCGGAUUCAAGCAAUUCUCCUGCCUCAGCCCCCCAAGUAGCUGGGUUUACAGGUAUGUGCAACCAUGCCCAGCUAAUUUUUUUUUGUAUUUUUUUCAGUAGACAUGGUUUUUUUUUUUAAAUUUUAUUAUUAUUAUACUUUAAGUUUUAGGGUACAUGUGCGCAACGUGCAGAUUUGUUACAUAUGUAUAUAUGUGCCAUGUUGGUGUGCUGCACCCAUUAACUCGUCAUUUAGCAUUAGGUAUAUCUCCUAAUGCUAUCCCUCCCCACUCCCACCACCCCACAACAGUCC
rnacentral:lncRNA from 10 species